rnacentral:rRNA from 1 species
GGAGGACGGGACGUUCGCUCGCCGGACGAACCUUUUGAAUUUUCUCAAGGUUGACCUCGGAUCAGGUAGGGAUACCUGUUGAACUUAAGCAUAUCAAUAAGCGGAGGAAAAGAAACCAACUGGGAUUGCCUUAGUAACGGCGAGUGAAGCGGCAAUAGCUUAAAUUUGAAAGCUGGCUCCUUCGGAGUCCGCGUUGUAAUUUGGAAAGAGAGUUAAAAAGUACGUGAAAUUGUUGAAAGGGAAGCGCUGGCAGCCAGAUUUGUCCGCAGUUGUUCAGCCGGUCUCUUGACGCGGCGUACUCUUCUGCGGCCAGGCCACCAUCAGUUCGGGCGGUCGGACAAAGGU